rnacentral:rRNA from 1 species
UAGGGAAUCUUCCGCAAUGGGCGAAAGCCUGACGGAGCAACGCCGCGUGAGUGAUGAAGGUCUUCGGAUCGUAAAACUCUGUUAUUAGGGAAGAACAAAUGUGUAAGUAACUAUGCACGUCUUGACGGUACCUAAUCAGAAAGCCACGGCUAACUACGUGCCAGCAGCCGCGGUAAUACGUAGGUGGCAAGCGUUAUCCGGAAUUAUUGGGCGUAAAGCGCGCGUAGGCGGUUUUUUAAGUCUGAUGUGAAAGCCCACGGCGCAACCGUGGAGGGUCAUUGGAAACUGGAAAACUUGAGUGCAGAAGAGGAAAGUGGCAUUCCAUGUGUAGCGGUCAAAUGCGCAGAGAUAUGGAGGAACACCAGUGGCGAAGGCGACUUUCUGGUCUGUAACUGACGCUGAUGUGCGAAAGCGUGGGGAUCAAACAGG